UACGUAGGGUGCAGGCGUUAAUCGGAAUUACUGGGCGUAAAGCGUGCGUAGGCGGUUCGCAAAGUCUGAUGUGAAAGCCCCGGGCUCAACCUGGGAACUGCAUUGGAAACUAACGGGCUCGAGUGUGGCAGAGGGGGGUGGAAUUCCACGUGUAGCAGUGAAAUGCGUAGAGAUGUGGAGGAACACCGAUGGCGAAGGCAGCCCCCUGGGCUAACACUGACGCUCAGGCACGAAAGCGUGGGGAGCAAACAGG
rnacentral:rRNA from 1 species